rnacentral:ncRNA from 1 species
CUCACUCCUGGGCUGGCGCUCUCACAUCGUGGAACCCACGCAGGUAAAGAGAAUGGUUAGAGGUCUUGGGGCUGAAAUGAUCUCAGCCUACGGGGAGGUGGAGCAUGAGCGCAGGUGUUAGGACCCGAAAGAUGGCAAAUUAUGCCUGGGCCGGGCGAGGCCAGAGGAAACCCUGGUGGAGGUCCGUAGUGGGCCUGACGCGUGAAUCGGUCGUCCGACCUGGGUCUAGGGGCGAAAGAUUAAUCGAACCAUCUGGUAGCUGG